GAAGUUCAACUAUCAACUGUGUUCUGAGAGUCUAAAAAAAUAAAUGAACGUAUUUGUUUGGGUAUUCUUAAAGCAGGAGUGAGGACACAGUGAAAGUGAGACAAGGAAAAGAGAACAAAAUAAAACAGGAAAGAGAGACAAGCCAAUACCACACGUGUUAAGAGUUUCAAGGAAAAUAUGUUGGGAGUUCCUGGCAUAGAGAAUGUCACAAAGACAUGUUUUCAAUAGUAGUGCUAUCCCUAGGGCAAAGAAGACCCAGAGAAAGCCCAAAUGGCUGAUGGAACAAAGUCAGACACCGUGCCACCUGUCCACACUCCUUGGCUCUGCCAUCAUGCUGAAGAUCGUUUUAAAGGACUGGCUUCCCUCCCCCCAAAAUUAAAAGAGCACAGACUGAGAAACUGAAUGUAGGAGACAGCAGUGGAUUAUGCUGUUCUCAGGGGUCACCUCAGGUUUGGAAGCAUUCUUUCAAAUUAACCCAUCUCAGGCCAUCUGCAGAGAAGAAAGGUGGUACCUAACUUUUUUUCUUGUCAGCAUUUGGUAGGGGUGUUUUAUUGACCAAAUAUGUUCCCACAACCUGGUUUUUUGUGACUAAGUAAAUAUAGUAGAUUUUUAAAUUUUAUCAUCAAAAUCUAUAGACAAUUUUUGAUUAAAAUAGACUCCAUAUCUAUGUCCUGCUUUUCUUCUUAUUAUUAAUUACAUUGCUGUAUAAAAGAACAAGACUUCAGAAUCAAGAAUAUCUUGUCUCUUCGCAUUGAAUUUAUAUACAAGGUGCUCUUUCUUUAAUGCUGUCUCAAAGGACAUAUUUUUACUCAUUAAAAAGGAAGAUCGGAAUCUGGUUGUAUGCACUGCUCCAACAUAUUAAUAAUUAAAAUUAAGAGGUAAAUGUGGUCAAAGCCAUAGAAAGACUGAGAUGUCAUUUAUAUUGAUUACUCUAUAGCACUCUACAAACAGAAAUUGUGAAAUAAGUUUAUAUAAAUAUUUUGUAGCAUUUCAAAUAUUUGAGUGCUUGAAGUUUCUCCUCUUAUAUAGUUCAGAUUAUCAAUUUGAAAACUUACUCCGCUAGUUAAUAUGUUUUUAGUCUCGUUUGAGUAUUAUAUAAAAGCAAUUUUCAGUUAAAUGUGUUCCGCUUACAUAAAACAUUACAAAUUAUUGAGGAUUUAAUUACUUAUUCAUGUUCCUGUAAUGUCUUUAGAAGAUUUUCUUCUUAUUACCUAUCAAUAUAUGUAUGCUUUGUCAAAGAAAAAUCAAACAUAUAUAUCAUUGAAAUUGAAACUUUUUAAAAGUACUUAUUAAUUCUAUUGAAAAACCACAUCCAUAGGAACAAUUACAAUAUAAUAUUGUGAACAUGUAAACAUAUACCCUAUGUCUAUUUUAUGUAUAAUCAUAUAUGAUUAAAAAUAUAGUUAAGAAUUUUUAAACCUAGUAUUAUCAAGUAAAAAUUAGUUAACUUCUGAUGAUUGUUAAUUAAGAUAAAAUUAUUUUGAUUUGGGUGAUUUUAAAUAAAGAAAAAAAUUACAUGACAAAAAUUCUUUAUAAAAUGUUUAUGAUUUUUACAUUGGUUUUAUCACUUUAUUCCACUAUUUUAUUUUAAGAUGACCAGCCUUGUUUAAAACACUGUAUUCAUCUUAAUUAAAUUAAAUUCCAUUUGUAAAAAAAUUAACAAAUGAUUUGCUCUAUUAUACAGUGCGGUUGUAAACUGAGUCAGUAUCUCAAGGUUUGACCCCCAUUAUCGUCAUCCGUGGCCCUAUUUGUUUGAUAAAUGUAUUGUCUUUUUCCAUGCCUGUCGCAUCUCUAUUGCUCUUUCAUUUUUCUCUUUGUCCCUUAUAGGGAGCAUUGCCUAUCUCUAGAUUAAGCAAAAGUUGCAUCUUAAAAAAGCACAAUAACCUGCUCAAUCUUUCUCACACAGAGAAAUGUUUGUUAAGUAAUUAAAGUGUAGAUGAUGAUACAAAGAGCUUGAUUAAAUUAGAUGCCAAAGUACCCUUGUGAUUCAGAAUAUGAAUGGUAUUUAAUUUCUUUGAAAUCAUUAAUUGCUGAGUGACAUUAAUUAAUGCCAAUAUUCCAGAAGUUGUUCUAGUUAGUGAAAUGUAUGCAACAUGCAAAAGAUUCAGAACUCUGAAGGGCAACAUUAUUCUAUAAUUAAGAAUUAAGAAUUAAUUCACAUUAAUUAUUGGGGAGAAAUAAUUAUUAAGAAUUAAUGAUUGAGAAAAUGUUUUUAUUUUUUAUUUAGAAAAUUAUUUUGUACAUGAGCAUUACCGCAAGUUUUGCAAGAAAUAUAAAUUUAAAGAAACAAUUAUGUGCACAAGGUGAAUUUAAUAACAUCUUGAUAUUUUCCACGAUUACAGUUUUAUUUGGUAAAUCUAUAAAAGCACAUCUUCUAAAGAUAAUAAAUGAAUCUUGGAAAUCUUGUAGGUAAAGGUAAAUAUUAGGAUGCAUCCAAUUACAUUUACACACACAGUUACAUUUACACACACAUACAUGCAUACAGACUGAUACACGUGUGUGUAUAUAUAUAUAUAUAUAUGAAUUUACUAAUUGAUUUUAACUAAUAUUUAUAAGAGCCAGUUGGAUUGAUAUAUAUUGUUGAACCUGAAAAAUAUUUAUUAUAUACAUGUUUAAAAUACACACAGAAAUAAAUAGUAAUUGCACCAGACAUUUGAAACUGUACUAAAAUAUAAGCUGUGAACAUUUUGUGAUCAUUACAAAUUCUUACACUGAAUAUUUUUAUUUUUACAAUAUUAAUAUGUUUGAUAUCUGUGUACAUUUUUUACAAUGUGUUAUUUUAUUUUUGUCAUAGAGUCUUGUCAUGCAUAAUAACAUUUCAGUCAAAGAUGGAUUACAAAUACAAAAGUGGUCCAUGAGAUUAUAAUACAUAUUUUUACAUACUUUUCUACGUUUAAGUAUGUUUAGAUACAUAACCUCUUACCACUGUGUUCUUAUUGCCUGCAGUAUUCAGUACAGUAAGGUAGUACACAGGUUUGUAGCCUGGGAGAGAGAGGCUAUACCAUAUAACCUAGACGUGGUAGGCUGUACAAUCUAGGUGUUUGUAAUAUUCCCUGUGAUGUUUGCAAAAUGAUGAAAUUGCCUAUGGAUGCAUCUGUUAGAACGUAUCCCUAUCAUUCAGUGAUGUGUGGCUGUACUAAAAUGCUCAAUGUAAGUUUCAAUGCCCUCCAUAAAACUGUUGUACUGUGAAAUACAAAUCUCUCACCCAUGGCCUGAAUAUGUUUGCAAACUAAGCAGAUCAGGGGAAGGAGAAUGUGCUGGCAUCGCUGGGAUGAUUUUCUCACACUACAUGAAUAAUAUCUACAGACUUAGCGCAUAUGAGCCACUUGCAUAGAGUUAAAGUAGGCAUCUCUUUGCUGGGAAAUUUAUCAAAUGGGAGUAUGUAGUGUUUUUAAAAGAUACUUGUUUGUUUGUAGCUGGUAGGCAUACAGUGGCUCAUGGCAAUGGUUAAGGUUGCUAAGAUUUGGUGGAAGAAGGCAAAAUGAAAUGGCCACUUAUAUGGUAUAUGGUAUAUGGAUCACUUGUUUCUGUUGAGUUACAGACUCAGCUGGCUAUUUCUCCCAAUGUUAGUUAUUUGGAGAAAAAAACGUGAUGGUAAUUUUGGAGUAACAAAUACAAUAUUUGAUGAAAGCAAAUUUAUUGAGGGUUAGACAAACUACAAGAUACUUUAAGCUGCAAAGUCAACACGAGACUUCUGGCCCAAAUUGUGCAGAGUUUGCGUCCAGCUGCAAAGUUCAAAGGAAGAGGCCAUAUAAGACGAUUCUCACUUCUGACACCAACUGCCAGUUCAGGGGUUUCCCCUGAACACACUCAGUUUCAAGAAUUUACUAGAAAGACUCACAGAACUCAUUGAAUGCCAUUGUACUUACGGUUUAUAAUAGAGAAAGGGUAGAAAUUAGGACCAAUUGGAGAGACAUAUCAUAUAAGGUGGAAUCUAGGAGAUUUUGAAUAUUAAGUUUCCAUUGUCUUCAGGACAUACUACCUGUAAUUGUUGUACAGCAAUAAACAUGGAGUACUACCAAGCUGGGGAGCUCACCUGAUGCUAAAAAGACACUAUUUAGAGAAUGAAAAGACAAAUGAAAGGAUGGGAUAAGAUGACCUUCCACAUUAAGGCACUGGAAAGAAUAAAAAACUAAACCUAAAGCAAGCAGAAGGAAGAAAAUAAAAAUUAGAGAAAUUAAUAAUUUAUAAUAAUAUUUGUUAGUGUUGAAUAAUUGAUAUUAAUUCUUGACUAGCUUUUUUAAAAAGAAAUAUUCACUUCCCAAUUUACUCUUUGGGGCCAGUGUUACCUUGAUACAAAAAUUAGUCCAAAUAGCAUAGAAAAAUAAAACUACUAUAAGUAUAAAUGCAAAAUUCCUUAAAAAAUACUAACAAAUCAGAACUAGCAACAUAUAAAAGAAUUAUACACUAUGACAAAGUGAAAUUUAUACAAGUAUUCCCAGGUUGGUUUAACAGCCCAAAAUCCAUUAAGGUAAUACAUCUUAUCCAUAGAAUAAGAAACGAGAAUUGCA
rnacentral:lncRNA from 1 species